GCUUCUACAGGAAUCUGUUUCUGGUUCUGUCCGGAACCUGUCAGGACUCUGUCUGGUUCUGUCUGGAACCUGGAUCAUCAACAAGAAAAUGCACCUUCAACAAAGAAGAGGUGAGUAAAUUUUGCAAAGAGAGAGAGAAGAGGGAGAGAGAGAAAGAAAGUCCAGAGCAAGCAUCAAUUCUCCGGGGGCCAGAAGUUUGGAAGGGAAAUGUGGCAAGUAGAGACGCGCGCUUGUACCUUUCCUGACCUCUCUGAGCUCGGUUAGAUGUGGAACUCAGCCUUCCAAACACAGCAGGAUCCCGUCUUCUUUCAACUCUGCAACUGGGCGGGGGCAGCCAGAUACGGGUUGCUCCCCCAAAUCCUGCCCUGGCAAGGUCCCUGCAGCGCGUAACGAGAUGCACUGCAAGCCUUUGGACGCAGACGAUUGGGAGAGACUGGCAGGAGGACCCGCAAGCUGCCCUACUCUGCAAGGGGAGGAUAGAGAAGAGAACUCCGGAGAAGAAUGGCUGGACAGAAGGGGAAACACUCUGCGUACAGUGCCAAUGAGUAUUGAAGUCUUGGUCAAGAGGGCGGGGCGGCCUGGCCUGCAGCUGGAGGGUGCCUGAGCAGAGCCAGAGCUGGGAGGGGCCCGGGGCGUAGGCUUUCGGAAAAAAAUUCCAUUGUUGUUCCACCGCCACCAGUACUACGACCUCCUAUUCUGUACCUCCAUCGGGUUCUGGUUGAAGGGUGCAGGACGCAGGGCUGCAGGCAGCGUGAGCAAUCGAGGCACAAGGAGCAAAUCAGCUGGGGUUUCCCCGAUUUCCCCCAAGUGCUUUCCAGCCGGGGAGUCCCAACCCCAGCUAAUAGAAAAGUGAAAGAGAAAGAACCCAAGCUGAGGCGGAGAUCAACACCCUGGGGAGGUUGCGGGAGGGGCACAUGGUCGCUGGCCACCUUACCAGAUGCCCACAUGAUUCUGCCACUGCCAGGUCCCCAGGGCGCAGAACCUGAAGGGCAACUGAGAGCAGAGAGCCGUCUCCGCCCCCUGGGCAGUUGGCCACAGCCUCUGUGUGUCCUGGAACGCCUUUGCCUCUGUGAAGUCUCAAGGAGUUGGCCUGAGUUCACAGGUUGCUUGCAUCUACAGCAACUGGCCUUGCAGGGAGGCAGUUUGGCUUCCCUAUAGAAGCCUGGAGAUCUGGACAGAG